AUACGUAGGUGGCAAGCGUUGUCCGGAAUUAUUGGGCGUAAAGCGCGCGCAGGCGGUCCUUUAAGUCUGAUGUGAAAGCCCACGGCUCAACCGUGGAGGGUCAUUGGAAACUGGGGGACUUGAGUGCAGAAGAGGAAAGUGGAAUUCCAAGUGUAGCGGUGAAAUGCGUAGAGAUUUGGAGGAACACCAGUGGCGAAGGCGACUUUCUGGUCUGUAACUGACGCUGAGGCGCGAAAGCGUGGGGAGCAAACAGGAUUAGAUACCCGGGUAGUCCACGCCGUAAACGAUGAGUGCUAAGUGUUAGGGGGUUUCCGCCCCUUAGUGCUGCAGCUAACGCAUUAAGCACUCCGCCUGGGGAGUACGGUCGCAAGACUGAAACUCAAAGGAAUUGACGGGG
rnacentral:rRNA from 1 species